rnacentral:tRNA from 1 species
GCCGCGUGGGCGAGUGGCUGGCGCGCCGGCUCGGCGCGCCGGAGCGCUCGGGCGCGGUGGGCGCCACCGCGUUCCGCGCCACCGAGGUGGCCC